UACGUAGGGUGCGAGCGUUGUCCGGAAUUAUUGGGCGUAAAGGGCUCGUAGGCGGUCUGUCGCGUCGGGAGUGAAAACUCGGGGCUUAACUCCGAGCCUGCUUCUGAUACGGGCAGACUAGAGGUAUGCAGGGGAGAACGGAAUUCCUGGUGUAGCGGUGAAAUGCGCAGAUAUCAGGAGGAACACCGGUGGCGAAGGCGGUUCUCUGGGCAUGAUCUGACGCUGAGGAGCGAAAGUGUGGGGAGCGAACAGG
rnacentral:rRNA from 1 species